CAGGGUAACAGAAAACACUGACCAGAUUUAGAACCCUUGAUUGGGGAAAUUGCUCUCUGAAACUCUCUACCUACAAAAUUAAAUAAUUAAAAAUAAAGAAAAAUAUCAUUUACCUUAUUACUGAAAUUAUUUUAAUAGCUAACUUUAGAAAAAUUAGAAAAUUUAAAUCAGUCAAAAUGAGGUAAAUAAGAACACCUGUAGCUCUACAACAGAGAGAUUGCCACUAUUGACAGGUUGGCUUCUAUAUUUUCAUUCUUUACACUCAUACGUACAUGAAUGAUGCACCUUAUUCAUAUGUAUUUGCUUUUGAAAAACAGGGAUUGUGUUUUAAGUAGUACUUAAAUUACGAGUGGAUAUCUUUGAAACAGAACAGAGUUAAAUUUAAUCACAGUCGUAAUCGUAAUCUUUAUAAUUUACCAUGCCAGGCACUGGUUUAGUAUAUUGAGUAUUUGAUCUCCUUUAAUCCUUCCAACAACCUUAUGAUAUUGGUAUAUUGUUAUAAAUUUUACAGAUUAAGAAACUGAGGCUAUAACCAGGCAACAGAUCAAGAUCCUGCCACUGGUUACUGGUGGAUCUAGAAGUCAAUCUCACAUGAAAUAUGGAUAAAGGGAGAGACCCAGAGGAAACUUUUUGAGCGAUGCUGGCCCCCACAAGACAAAGUAAUGAAGACCAAAGAGGGAAACCGUUUCAGCCAGACCACUUAAGGCCCUGUUCUGGGAAGAUAAACAGGCCCUCUGUGUGGGUAGAUCUCCCAGGUGUCUCUCAUUAUUGGACUCCCAGGACUGACUGAGAGGGCAGGAGCACAGGAGAUCUGGCUUCAGGGGAAUUAGCAACUCUGUUUAGGAGCGGGUUGCACCCUGCCAGCCCGAUUUGUUUCCGAGAAGCCCUCACCUGUGGCCAGUUUAUUCCUACCUGGCCAGAACAUUUGGAACUAUCCCAGGAAGCCGUGAGGCUGAGUCAGCGUUAGUUGCGCAUGCGCAGCAUCUUCGGCGUCCACGCACCAGCCUGUUUUGAGGAUCAGUGCGUCUUUUAGGUAGGGCCUGGCAGCACCCACCAAGCAGUGUCUCUGGGCCAGCAGUUCCCUGCAGCGGGC
rnacentral:lncRNA from 1 species